GCCAAUGUGGUGCAGUGGUUUGAACAUUGAACUACAAAUCUGGAGACCAGGCUUCAAAUCCCUGCUCAGCCA